GGAAUAUUGGUCAAUGGGCGUGAGCCUGAACCAGCCAAGUAGCGUGCAGGAUGACGGCCCUACGGGUUGUAAACUGCUUUUAUGCGUGGAUAAAGUGGCCUACGUGUAGGCUAUUGCAGGUAUCGCAUGAAUAAGGACCGGCUAAUUCCGUGCCAGCAGCCGCGGUAAUACGGAAGGUCCGGGCGUUAUCCGGAUUUAUUGGGUUUAAAGGGGGCGUAGGCGGCUCAGUAAGCGUGCAGUUAAAUGUCGGUGCUCACCAUCGGCCUGCUGCGCGAACUGCCGGGCUUGAGUGCGUUGAAGGCUGGCGGAAUUCGUGGUGUAGCGGUGAAAUGCUUAGAUAUCACGAAGAACUCCGAUUGCGAAGGCAGCUGGCCGUAUCGCUACUGACGCUGAAGCUCGAAGGUGCGGGUAUCGAACA
rnacentral:rRNA from 1 species